rnacentral:rRNA from 1 species
CAAGUGGUGGAGCAUGUGGUUUAAUUCGAUGAUACGCGAGGAACCUUACCUAGGCUAGAAUGCGCGUGACCGGCUCAGAGAUGAGCUUUUCCUUCGGGACACAAAGCAAGGUGCUGCAUGGCCGUCGUCAGCUCGUGCCGUGAGGUGUUGGGUUAAGUCCCGCAACGAGCGCAACCCCUAUGUUUAGUUGCCAGCAUGUAAUGAUGGGGACUCUAGACAGACUGCCUGCGCAAGCAGUGAGGAAGGCGGGGACGACGUCAGGUCAUCAUGGCCCUUACGCCUAGGGCGACACACGUGCUACAAUGGACGGUACAGCGGGUAGCUACUGGGCGACCAGAUGCCAAUCUCGAAAAGCCGUUCUCAGUUCGGAUCGGAGUCUGCAACUCGACUCCGUGAAGCUGGAAUCACUAGUAAUCGCGCAUCAGCCAUGGCGCGGUGAAUACGUUCCCGGGGCCUUGUACACACC